rnacentral:rRNA from 1 species
GACAGAGGUGCCAAGCGUUAGGCGGAAUCACUGGGCUUAAAGCGUGUGUAGGCGGAUUGGUAAGUACCUUGUGAAAUCUCUGAGCUUAACUCAGAACGGCCAAGUGAUACUGCUGUGCUCGAGUGUGGAAGGGGCAAUCGGAAUUCUUGGUGUAGCGGUGAAAUGCGUAGAUAUCAAGAGGAACACCUGAGGUGAAGACGGGUUGCUGGGCCAACACUGACGCUGAGGCGCGAAAGCCAGGGAGCAAACGGG